rnacentral:rRNA from 1 species
UACGGAGGGUGCAAGCGUUGUUCGGAAUCACUGGGCGUAAAGCGCGUGUAGGCGGUCAUCUAAGUCUGGUGUGAAAGCCCGGGGCUCACCCCCGGAAGUGCACUGGAGACUGAAUGGCUGGAGUACCGGAGAGGAGGGUGGAAUUCCUGGUGUAGCGGUGAAAUGCGUAGAUAUCAGGAGGAACACCGGUGGCGAAGGCGGCCCUCUGGACGGCUACUGACGCUGAGACGCGAAAGCGUGGGGAGCAAACAGG